rnacentral:lncRNA from 1 species
UGUCAUUUUGUUCACUGCAGAGGGAAGAGGUGUGUGCCUUCCAGUGUGACAUCUUAAGACCACACCAUGCCCCAUCUACUUCCUCUUUCCCCUUCUUGCUGGCUAGAUGGUUGGAAUGGCAAUAUUAAGAGAAAUUUCAGCAAGUUCCCGCCAUGGCUCAGUGGUUAACGAACCUUACUAGUAUUCAUGAGGACGUGGAUUCAAUCCCUGGCCUUGCUCAGUGGGUUAAGGAUCUGGCGUUACCAUGAGCUGUGGCAAAAAAAAAAAAAAAAGAGAGAGAGAGAGAGAAAGAAAUUUCAUAAGCGAAGUAUUGAAGAAGGUAGAAUGCAAUCAGCCUGAGCCCCUGAAUGACUGCGUGCAGCAGAGCUGCCCAUCAACGAGAACGCUUACCUUAAGUUGUCAUGUAAGAAGGAAAUAAACUUUGUAUUCUGCAAGCCAUCUAAAGAGUUCAUCUGUUACACCGACCCAGUCUACCCUUCACUAAUAACAGCAUCUAACUCAGAAUGGUUAUGAAGAUUAAGAGAAAUUCCAAGGCUAACAUUCAUGCAGAACUUACUGUAUCCUGGGCUCCAUGCUAAACACUUACACACAUGAAUUUAUUAAAUAAUCAAAACAACCCUUCAAGGUAGGUUUCAUCAUCUCCAUUUCAUAAUUGGAGAUCAAAGAGAUUAAGAAAUAUUCUUAAUAGUCAAAGACUAGGAAGGGAUAGACGCGGAACCAAAUCCAGAUCUGGAAAAUGCAUGAGGGUUUUGGUAUGGCUCACGCCUCCAGAGUUUCAGUUGCAGAUUUUUCUCUCCUCUCUCCUGUCCCGUCUGCCCUUGAGAUUCCCUCUCCUCUUCCCCUCCCUCUUUCUCCCCUUCUUUAAUACUGGAUCCUCGUUUCAUGCAAGAUAGCAUGCUAUCACACAAUAAAUAUUGCAACCAGGAUAUCUGAGUUACAGUUUCAGCUUUUUUGAGUCCUAGCUGUGUGAAUGUGGUAAAUCAUCUUUCUGAGUCCCGGUUUUCUUGUCAGAAUAAUAGUUAUGCCAAUAAUCGUUGCCUUAUCUAUCUUACAUGACGACCAUGAGGCUCAAUUAAAAUACACUGCAUCAAAGAUCUUAACAAAUUGUAAACCAUUCUGGAGAUGGCAGCUGUUCCUCCCUACUCUACCCCCAUCCCAUAUGCCAGUAGUUCAUAAAGUAUAAUCCCUGGACAGCAGCAUCAGCAUCACUGGGAACUUGUUAGAAAUUCAAAUACUUAGGCCCCACCUAGACCUGCUGAAUUAGAAAAUCUAGGGGUAGGACCUAGAAAACUAUGCUUACCAAGCCCUCUAGAUGAUUUUGAUAAUCAAGAUUGAGAACUACUGUCAUGUGAAGACACACACACACUCACAUCCAGAUGAAAUGAAGUUAAAAUAAAUAUCAUAGAGAAAAGAAUUCAUAUAAGAGCAGCCUGAGGACAGUGUUUGAGAAAAGAGGUAUAGGCAGGGCAGUGCUGAGGAGAUGCUUGGGGGGGGUAGAUAAAGACACGGUUAAGAGCAUCAGGGCUUUUUACUUCAGUGGAAUUUCUUUCUUCUCCCAGAACCAGCGCUAUGACCCACGGCUGAGCUAUACCAAUGGAAUAAGAGCAGGAAAAGUGAGUCUUGAAGAAAUGACCCAAUAUUUAACAGGACUCCUUUGGUUGCAAGUAAGAGGAGGCCAUCACAAACAGUUUUAAACAAAAGUGCGAAGGUAUUGGCUUAUAAAGCUUGAAAGCCCAAGUGUAGAUUGGCUUCAUUCACAAGAUCGCUCCUUGGCCAACUUUGACUUUGGGAUUCUGUUUCUCUCAUUUUCUUGGCUCUAGUUUUCCCUGUUUUUAUUACUCUCAGAACCUUUCCCUGUGGUGGUGUACAUGUGCGGAAUCACUCUAAGGUCCAUGUUUUAUCUGUUUAGCAAGGAGAGUGUCUGUUUCCCCAUGGUUCUGAACUUUCCUCUUAGUACUAGAACUCCUGAAUUUCAGCUGGACACAUGGCCUCCUAGCAAGAGGCUUUAUUUCUCAGCUUGCCUUGCAGGUGGGAGGGGUGUGCAGCAGGGAGUCACAUGUUAACAUCAGGUUAGUGGAAUGUGGGGAGUGUUGUGUGCAACUUUUUGGUUAUCUCCUUGAAGCUGAAACUAUAUGCCCUGGACUUUUUUGUCUUCUCCUAGACUGGAAGACAAAUGUGUAUUUAAACCAGCCUCAACUUUCCUAGGACAACACCCGAGGAGAUGACAGACCAAGAAGAUGGAAAGAUUCUGGGUCUCUGAAGUAUCUGAUGGAGCAGAGAUAACCCAUCAGUCUUGAACCGCUCAAGAUAAGAGAGAUAAGUAAAACACUUUUUAAGCCAUUGUGUUCUUGGGUUUCUUUGUUAUAGCCAUUUAGCCUGUAUGCUAACAUACCAUGUAGCCAUCCAGGAAUCAGUGUGGACAAUAGACUGGCUAUUUACAGAUCCAGGUUCUCAUCAGUCCUACAGUUGGUACAAUGUGAUCUUGGGUUUCAAUUUCCUCUUGUGUAAAAUAAGGCAUUUGGACUGAAUCUGGGAUACAGGACAAUAGAAUUCAUCUUGAGCAAAAUAGGGAAAAUGAGAGCAGUUACUUUGUAGGGUCAUGAGGAUUAGAGGAGAUAAUGCAGAGACUACACUCAGCCCAGUGCCUGAGACCUAACAGAUGCUCUGUAACUAUUAGCUAUAAUUAUUGUUGUUAUUAUUAUUAAGUUCUGACCCUGACAGAUUGCAGGAGGCUGCCUGGAGUGCUGUGUUGACAGGGAGAGGGGACCACAUCCAUGCUCACUGGAAAUGAAUGCCAUAAUCAUCUAGCUGUAGCUUCCAUGGGCACAGGAGGGGGCGUUCCCUGCAAUGGAGUGGAUUCCUGGAUUCCUAAGUCCUCUUCCCCUCUGACUUUGCAGAGUUUUUUCUACCUCCACUGAGUGUCUUGCCUUCCCCCCCUUCCUUAUACCAUACACACUACCAACUCUUUCAAGCAACACACAAACACAGGGGCCCCUUCAAUGUCUUUCACUCAAUGGCUAGCCUUCUCCUCACCGGCUUUUCAUCUUCUGAGCCUAACCCCCAAAUCUGGAGUCUCCAGACUCACAAGAGAUGCCAAGCCUUCUCAGGCUUCUGUAUUUUUAAGUCACUUCCCUCUCACCUGACUUAAUGCCUGGACAUUUGCGUGUUAAAAUGAUGUUGUUCAGCCAGGACCUUGCAGGAAGUAUCUGGAGGACAGUGGUACCCCAUAGGUAUAAUCCUUUUGC